rnacentral:rRNA from 1 species
CAUUACCGAGUUUACAACUCCCAAACCCCUGUGAACAUACCUUAUGUUGCCUCGGCGGAUCAGCCCGCGCCCCGUAAAAAGGGACGGCCCGCCGCAGGAACCCUAAACUCUGUUUUUAGUGGAACUUCUGAGUAUAAAAAACAAAUAAAUCAAAACUUUCAACAACGGAUCUCUUGGUUCUGGCAUCGAUGAAGAACGCAGCAAAAUGCGAUAAGUAAUGUGAAUUGCAGAAUUCAGUGAAUCAUCGAAUCUUUGAACGCACAUUGCGCCCGCCAGUAUUCUGGCGGGCAUGCCUGUUCGAGCGUCAUUUCAACCCUCAAGCCCAGCUUGGUGUUGGGAGCUGCAGUCCUGCUGCACUCCCCAAAUACAUUGGCGGUCACGUCGAGCUUCCAUAGCGUAGUAAUUUACACAUCGUUACUGGUAAUCGUCGCGGCCACGCCGUUAAACCCCAACUUCUGAAUGUUGACCUCGGAUCAGGUAGGAAUACCCGCUGAACUUAAGCAUAUCAAUAAGCGGAGGAAAAGAAACCAACAGGGAUUGCCCUAGUAACGGCGAGUGAAGCGGCAGCAGCUCAAAUUUGAAAUCUGGCUUUCGGGCCCGAGUUGUAAUUUGUAGAGGAUGAUUUUGAUGCGGUGCCUUCCGAGUUCCCUGGAACGGGACGCCAUAGAGGGUGAGAGCCCCGUCUGGUUGGAUGCCAAAUCUCUGUAAAUCUCCUUCGACGAGUCGAGUAGUUUGGGAAUGCUGCUCUAAAUGGGAGGUAUAUGUCUUCUAAAGCUAAAUACCGGCCAGAGACCGAUAGCGCACAAGUAGAGUGAUCGAAAGAUGAAAAGCACUUUGAAAAGAGAGUUAAAAAGUACGUGAAAUUGUUGAAAGGGAAGCGUUUAUGACCAGACUUGGGCUUGGUUAAUCAUCUGGGGUUCUCUCCAGUGCACUUUUCCAGUCCAGGCCAGCAUCAGUUUUCGCCGGGGGAUAAAGGCUUCGGGAAUGUGGCUCCCCUCGGGGAGUGUUAUAGCCCGUUGUGUAAUACCCUGGUGGGGACUGAGGUUCGCGCU